UCUGCCUGUCUGUCUGUCAAGCGGGCGGUGUCAGUCACAGGGCUGUGCUGAGCUGACCGGGAGGCAGAGCGCAGCGUCUCCGAUUUCAGCUCCCCCGGGACAUCCUGUUCUCCCGAUAGCCCAGGAGAUGUAAAUAUAGCAAAUGCAAAGCAAGGCACUUUCCUGCCGUGCCUCGCUCGGGCUGCAUUUAGAAGGGGCUGAAGCCUAGCAGCACAGUUGGAAACACCCAUCUGCAACUGUUAAAUAGGCAGCGUGUUUUAUUUUUAGUUUAAAAUGAAGUUCCUGUUUGUAAGGCCAGAAGGGUUACAGGAAAAAAAAAAAAGCAGCAGGAUCAUUUACUGCGAGGUUUCUUUUCACGUGUCCUUCCUUCCUUCCUCCCUCCUGAGAAAUAGGAUGUGGACCGCGGCUGUUCCAGCCCGCAGCGUUCGUUAGCAGCAAUGCCCGGUCCUGCAGGGCUGUCACACCUCGUGCCACGGCAGCGCUGCGCUGCCCGGCCGUGCCAAGCGCCCUUCAGGUCGGGUUGCUCCACCGAGCGCUUAUCUCAUGUAAAUGAACGCUGCCUCUUCCUUCCUUUCUCUUUCGUCAGGCUGCGGGCUGCCCUGGCGGGCGGGGUGACGGGAGGGUCAGCGGAGCACACCCUGAUGGGCAGCGCUCGGCACCACCGGCCCCGCCAAUUAGCGCAGCUGGGGCUAACGAGCCCGCUGGUCAGUGCACGGCUCCGUCCAGCUGUAGUCGAUCAGGAUGUGUGGGGUGAGCACCGUUUGGGUGCCUCCUUAAAGUGCCCUCCAGGGAAGGGGCUGUGAGCUGCUGAUGGGGAUUCCCAGGAGCUGUGGGAGCCCUGGUGCACGGAUUGGCUUCAUGUAGUGCCGUGUGAAGGAGAGGAGGCUUUGCUUAAUGAAGCAGGAUGGGUUAGGUGGGAAAAAUGAGAGCUAAUCAGAGCGAUGCUCUCCAGCAGGCUUCUGUGCACGGCGUUACAGUGAAAUCUGAAAUUCCUUUUGCUGCUCAUGCAUACAAAGCAGGAAGAGCGAGCGCGGCUGCAGACUGUUUGUGCUUUCAGAUGGUCUCGCCAAGGAGAAAACAACAGGGUAGCGGGAAGAAAGCGCAUUUGCUCGGAAACACGUCUGGAGUGCAGCUCCCCAGCGCUCACCCUAGGGCAGGGCAGGGACACAGAGAGCCCUGCAGCCAUCCCAGCGCACGCCCACAGCUCCUGCUGCACGGCGAGGUCAGCAGCCUGCAGAGGAACACGCUGGGCACGUCGUUCCUCCUGCUCUGCUCUGCAGCCCUGCUGCACAGUGUCACGUGAAGCACUGAUUAGAAAGUAUUCAUAGAAUGGCUUGGGUUGGGAGGGACCCUGAAGA